AGAAUCAACGCUGGCGGCGUGCCUCAGACAUGCAAGUCGAACGAUUAAAGCUCUCUUCGGAGAGUGUAUAGAGUGGCGCACGGGUGAGUAACACGUAAGUAAUCUACCCUCGAGUGGGGAAUAACGUCCGGAAACGGACGCUAAUACCGCAUAAUGCAGCGGCACCGCAAGGUGACAGUUGUUAAAGAUUUAUCGCUUGAGGAGGAGCUUGCGGCAGAUUAGCUAGUUGGUAAGGUAAUGGCUUACCAAGGCUACGAUCUGUAACCGGUCUAAGAGGACGGUCGGUCACACUGACACUGAAUAACGGGUCAGACUCCUACGGGAGGCAGCAGUCGGGAAUUUUGGGCAAUGGGCGAAAGCCUGACCCAGCAACGCCGCGUGAAGGAUGAAGUAUUUCGGUAUGUAAAACUUCGAAAAGAAAUGGGAAGAAUCAAUGACGGUACCAUUUAUAAAGGUCCGGCUAACUACGUGCCAGCAGCCGC
rnacentral:rRNA from 1 species